AUUGAACGCUGGCGGCAGGCCUAACACAUGCAAGUCGAGCGAGUGGCGGAAGGGUGAGUAAUGUAUGGGAAACUGCCAGAUGGAGGGGGAUAACUACUGGAAACGGUAGCUAAUACCGGGUACCAUAGGAUGUGCCCCGAUGGGAUUAGAUAGUAGGUGAGGUAACGGCUCACCUAGGCGACGAUCCCUAGCUGGUUUGAGAGGAUGACCAGACACACGUGAACGGAGAAACGGUCCAGACGCCUACGGGAGGCAGCAGUGGGGAAUAUUGAACAAUGGGCGCAAGACUGAUGCAGCCAUGCCGAGUGGAUGAAGAAGGCUUUCGGGUCGUAAAGUACUUUCAGCGGGGAGGCGUUAUCCGCAGAAGAAGCAACGGCUAACUCCGUGCCAGCAGCCGCGGUAAUAC
rnacentral:rRNA from 1 species